rnacentral:rRNA from 1 species
UACAGAGGGCUCAAGCGUUGUUCGGAUUCAUUGGGCGUAAAGGGUGCGUAGGCGGCGCGGUGAGUCGGGUGUGAAAUCUUGGAGCUUAACUCCGAAACUGCAUUCGAUACUGCCGUGCUUGAGGACUGGAGAGGAGACUGGAAUUUACGGUGUAGCGGUGAAAUGCGUAGAUAUCGUAAGGAAGACCAGUGGCGAAGGCGGGUCUCUGGACAGUUCCUGACGCUGAGGCACGAAGGUCAGGGGAGCAAACGGG